rnacentral:rRNA from 1 species
GACGUAGGGUGCGAGCGUUGUCCGGAUUUAUUGGGCGUAAAGAGCUCGUAGGCGGCUCGUCGCGUCGACCGUGAAAACCCGCGGCUUAACUGCGGGCUUGCGGUUGAUACGGGCGGGCUAGAGUUCGGUAGGGGAGACUGGAAUUCCCGGUGUAGCGGUGAAAUGUGUAGAGAUCGGGAGGAACACCGGUGGCGAAGGCGGGUCUCUGGGCAUCUCCUGACGCUGAGGCGCGAAAGCGUGGGGAGCAAACGGG